rnacentral:lncRNA from 1 species
CCCAGUUGGACUUCCCUGGCGAUAGAGCCCACCGGCGAGCGCUCCUUCUUCCUCCCGACGUCACCUCCUGUACGACGCGCGCUCAACCUCCCGAUCGCCCUCUUCUCGAUCCAGCGGCUCGAGCUCGCCUCCCGAGGCGUUAAAAGGAGCCCGAGACCUCCUCCUCCGCCCUAGGGUUCCCUCUCCUUUCCUCCCCAGCGCCGCCAGUUUCCCUCGUGCCCUCGUUCUUCCCUGGUAAGUUCUGAGAGAAAGCAGAGAGAGAGGGUGCAGCGCCUCCUCCGUCUACCCGCCGAUCCGUCGUCUCCGGCACUGGGCGCCAUGUCCGGGGGCUNNNN